CUCUCUGUACGGGAAGGAUGAGAAGCUUCGACUAAGGUUCGAUUCGAGCGUCAGCGAGAAAGCGUUGCCGCAGGCAACGACCCGAAGGGCGAAGCGCGCAGCGCUGAGUCAUCCUUCCCCCACCACCA
rnacentral:sRNA from 1 species